rnacentral:rRNA from 1 species
AGAGUUUGAUCCUGGCUCAGGACGAACGUUGGCGGCGUGCUUAACACAUGCAAGUCGAGCGGUUGAGAGGUGGGAGUUGAGAAGUUAGAAGUGGGAGAAAGGACGGGUGAGUAACGCGUGGAUAAUCUGCCUGUAAGACAGGGAUAACGCCGGGAAACCGGUGCUAAUACCCGAUAACCUCUUUGAAUCGCAUGAUUUGAAGAGAAAAGGUGGCCUCUUUACAAUGCUACCACUUACAGAUGAAUCCGCGUCCCAUUAGCCAGUUGGUGGGGUAAAGGCGAUCGGUAGCCGAACUGAGAGGUUGAUCGGCCACAUUGGGACUGAGACACGGCCCAGACUCCUACGGGAGGCAGCAGUGGGGAAUAUUGCGCAAUGGGCGAAAGCCUGAUCCAGCCAUGCCGCGUGCAGGAUGAAGGCCUUCGGAUUGUAAANNNNNNNNNNGGGGGACGAAACAACUGAAGGUACCGUAAGAAUAAGCAUCGGCUAACUACGUGCCAGCAGCCGCGGUAAUACGUAGGUGGCAAGCGUUAUCCGGAAUUAUUGGGCGUAAAGGGUGCGUAGGCGGUUUAUUAAGUUCUGAGGUGAAAGUGCGGGGCUCAACCCCGUAUGGCCAUAGAAACUGAUAGACUUGAGUGCAGGAGAGGGCAAUGGAAUUCCAUGUGUAGCGGUAAAAUGCGUAGAUAUAUGGAGGAACACCAGUGGCGAAGGCGGUUGCCUGGCCUGUAACUGACGCUGAGGCACGAAAGCGUGGGGAGCAAAUAGGAUUAGAUACCCUAGUAGUCCACGCUGUAAACGAUGAAUACUAAGUGUUGGAGAAAUUCAGUGCUGCAGUGCCGCAGCUAACGCAAUAAGCACUCCGCCUGGGGAGUACGGUCGCAAGACUGAAACUCAAAGGAAUUGACGGGGGCCCGCACAAGCGGUGGAGUAUGUGGUUUAAUUCGACGCAACGCGAAGAACCUUACCAAGGCUUGACAUCCUGUGACAGCUAUAGAAAUAUAGACUUCUUAGUUUACUAAGACACAGAGACAGGUGGUGCAUGGUUGUCGUCAGCUCGUGUCGUGAGAUGUUGGGUUAAGUCCCGCAACGAGCGCAACCCCUACAGCUAGUUGCCAGCACAUAAAGGGUUGGGCACUCUAAAGAGACUGCCGGUGUCAAACCGGAGGAAGGUGGGGAUGACGUCAAAUCAUCAUGCCCCUUAUGUCUUGGGCUACACACGUACUACAAUGGCCUGAACAGAGGGAAGCGAAACUGCGAAGUUAAGCGAAUCCCUUAAAACAGGUCCCAGUUCGGAUUGUAGGCUGCAACUCGCCUACAUGAAGUCGGAAUCGCUAGUAAUCGCAGGUCAGCAUACUGCGGUGAAUACGUUCCCGGGCCUUGUACACACCGCCCGUCACACCACGAAAGUCGGCAACACCCGAAGCCGGUGACUCAACCCGAAAGGGAGAGAGCCGUCGAAGGUGGGGUUGGUAAUUGGGGUGAAGUCGUAACAAGGUAACC